rnacentral:lncRNA from 1 species
AGGUGAUUGGGUCAUGGGGGCAGAACGCUCACGAAGGGGAUUAGUGCCCUUAUAAAAGAGGACUGAGGCCUCUCACUUGGCGCUUCUACCAUGGGAGGAUACAAGGAGGAAUCUGCGACUCAGACGAAGCCUUCACCUGAGCAUCCUGACACCCUGAUCUCAGAACUGUGAGAAGUCCCUGCCCACAUAACCAUCCACUGACUUGGAAUGCUCAAUUUGGACUGUUUCAAGAGGAAGACUGGCCCUGAGCUAACAUCCAUGCCCUUCUUCCUCUGCUUUAUAUAUGGGACGCUUACCACAGCAUGGAUUUUGCCAAGCAGUGCCAUGUCUGAACCUGAGAUCCGAACUGGCAAACUCUGGGCCGCACAGAAGCGGAACGUGCGAACUUAGCUGUACCACCGGGCCAGCCCCCCUUUCUUGUUUCUUGAUGCAGGGAACUGGAGCAGAGGCAUGAGACUCAGGGGUACUGCUCACUGCAGAAGAAGAGACAGCUGCAUUCCAAAAAACAGAGAUAUGAAGUGAAAUUCAGCACAUGGAAUGGCUUUAAAUUUUUGAUACUGGAUCAAGGAUGGCAGCGCGUUAUAAAACAGCUGAACAAGGAAGCAAGACAUGAGAGCAGACUAGUAAAGAGAGAUAUUAAUGGGAUCACAAUGAAGCAGAGAUCACAAAAGUAAACAAAAUCCAGAGAACAUAAAAGUGGAAUUCCGAGUCUGGGGGGAGAUCUAUGUGAAUAAUCACCAGCCAGAAAUCUGCAAGACCGAAGGAUCAAGAAGAAUGGCCAAGCAAAGCAGUCUCUGGUCAAAGUCCAAAGAACUAACAGAAAUUUGCAUUGCGCUAACACUGGGAAGAGAGGGACACUGCGAUGAGCUUCCCCAUAGAAUUUAGAAGACCUCAUUUACUCUGUAUUCUCGCCCACCUCCACCUGUGGCAACCUGAGCUAAAGAGGGCUAAUAGAAUAGGAGUAAGAACCUUGGCAAAGUUAUUUUUUCCCUCUGACACCACAUAUAUAUGGUCGCAUAUAUGUACGUCACCACAUGACAUAUAAUUAAUUAUAUUCAUAAUUAAUAGUGAGAACUAGCAUUCACAUAGCACUUGUCAUGAUUCUGACAUCUAAACAGUGGUAGUUCUUCAUGUUUCUAGACCAGAGUUGUUGUUCUAUGUUAGAGGCAAAGACCAUGACAAUUCACUUGCUUUGUCUGGCACUGAUGGAUAAGUACUUCUGACAAUACUGUUAAACAAACUUGGUGAUUCAAAAUUCAUGUGUUCAAAUAUUUAUAAAGUAGGAGGUAGAGAUAAUAAAAAUUUAUGAAAAGGUCAAUUUUUAACUAUUAAAUUUACAAAAACUACAAAUGUUAAUGCACAGUCCUUUAUACAAGGAAUAAUUGAAGGAGAAGCAGCCUAGUAAAUUCAAUAUGCGUGGCUUACAAUAGUCAAAAAAUUUAGAAUCAUCUUAAAUGCUCAAUAGUAUCAAGACUAUUAUCAUUUUAAAUAUGUUGUAGCAACAUGAUAGAAUUUAUAUAUAGUAACUUAAGAAAAGUGCAAGAUAAAAAUGAUACACUAAAAUCACAAAUGUUAAAAUAUAUAGCCAUAAAACCUAAAGAGACUGUACAUACCUGUUGG